CUUGGCUACUAUGGAGGCACAAAGAGUGAGUUAUUGCUGUGAAUGGCUACACAGAGGGUUGUGCUAUUAUCACUUUAAUGGUAGGGUUAAACGACAAGUAAAAGUGAUAUCCCAGUCCCCUGGCACUUUCUCUCAUUCACUCAUUUCUAAGGCCAACUGUAUUUUAUUUCUUUCAGGCUCCCAGAAGUUCUCAUAAUCUUGUCCCUCAUCAAAAGGUUGAAGAGCCAACUUUGGAAAAAGAACACUUGCCUAGAUCAAAAUCCCUGCAGUUGUGAACUCUCCUCAAUAACGUUUCCAAAUAGGAAGAAAUAGCUCAGAGGAGAAACAGGAAAGAAGAGAAGCUCUAAGACAGAUGCUCAGAAGUCAAAGUGGGGUGCCAGCAACCAAGAAACAGAAGUUUCUUGGACCAAGGAGGGCCAGGGUGUGCUGACCACUUCUUCAAUUUCUCACAACUGCAAAGGAGAAUGCUAUGCUGCACAGCACCUCUGCCUCCAACACUGUAACUCCAAGACCUGGUACCCUUUGCAUUAAUAAAGAGCUGCCCCAGCCCGUUCCAGAUGCAACACCCUCCCUAAUCACCAUCUCAAUCUGGACCUGGUCUUCCACUCUUUCCCUGUUAAAACACACAUCUGCU
rnacentral:lncRNA from 1 species